GCAAGUCGAGCGGACAGAUGGGAGCUUGCUCCCUGAUGUUAGCGGCGGACGGGUGAGUAACACGUGGGUAACCUGCCUGUAAGACUGGGAUAACUCCGGGAAACCGGGGCUAAUACCGGAUGGUUGUUUGAACCGCAUGGUUCAGACAUAAAAGGUGGCUUCGGCUACCACUUACAGAUGGACCCGCGGCGCAUUAGCUAGUUGGUGAGGUAACGGCUCACCAAGGCGACGAUGCGUAGCCGACCUGAGAGGGUGAUCGGCCACACUGGGACUGAGACACGGCCCAGACUCCUACGGGAGGCAGCAGUAGGGAAUCUUCCGCAAUGGACGAAAGU
rnacentral:rRNA from 1 species